rnacentral:rRNA from 1 species
AUGGCGACCGGCGCACGGGUGAGUAACGCGUAUGCAACCUGCCCGAUACCGGGGUAUAGCCCAUGGAAACGUGGAUUAACACCCCAUAGUACUUUUACCCUGCAUGGGAUGUGAGUUAAAUGUUCAAGGUAUCGGAUGGGCAUGCGUCCUAUUAGUUAGUUGGCGGGGUAACAGCCCACCAAGACGAUGAUAGGUAGGGGUUCUGAGAGGAAGGUCCCCCACAUUGGAACUGAGACACGGUCCAA